rnacentral:rRNA from 1 species
GACGAACGCUGGCGGCGUGCUUAACACAUGCAAGUCGAACGGCAAGGCCCUGCUUUUGUGGGGUGCUCGAGUGGCGAACGGGUGAGUAACACGUGAGUAACCUGCCCUUGACUUUGGGAUAACUUCAGGAAACUGGGGCUAAUACCGGAUAGGAGCUCCUGCUGCAUGGUGGGGGUUGGAAAGUUUCGGCGGUUGGGGAUGGACUCGCGGCUUAUCAGCUUGUUGGUGGGGUAGUGGCUUACCAAGGCUUUGACGGGUAGCCGGCCUGAGAGGGUGACCGGCCACAAUGGGACUGAGAGACGGCCCAGACUCCUACGGGAGGCAGCAGUGGCGAGUAUGGCCCAGUGGGCGGAAGCCUGAUGCAGCGACGCCGCGGUCGGGAUGACGGCCUGCGGGUUGUAAACCGCAUUCGCCUGUGACGAAGCGGGAGUGACGGUAAUGGGUAAAGAAGCACCGGCUAACUACGUG